rnacentral:rRNA from 1 species
CAUGUGUAGCGGUGAAAUGCGUAGAUAUAUGGAGGAACACCAGUGGCGAAAGCGGCUCUCUGGUCUGUCACUGACGCUGAGGCUNGAAAGCGUGGGUAGCGAACAGGAUUAGAUACCCUGGUAGUCCACGCCGUAAACGAUGAGUGCUAGGUGUUAGGCCCUUUCCGGGGCUUAGUGCCGGAGCUAACGCAAUAAGCACUCCGCCUGGGGAGUACGACCGCAAGGUUGAAACUCAAAGGAAUUGACGGGGGCCCGCACAAGCGGUGGAGCAUGUGGUUUAAUUCGAAGCAACGCGAAGAACCUUACCAGGUCUUGACAUCCCGAUGCUAUUCUUAGAGAUAGGAAGUUACUUCGGUACAUCGGAGACAGGUGGUGCAUGGUUGUCGUCAGCUCGUGUCGUGAGAUGUUGGGUUAAGUCCCGCAACGAGCGCAACCCUUAUUGUAGUUGCCAUCAUUAAGUUGGGCACUCUAGCGAGACUGCCGGUAAUAAACCGGAGGAAGGUGGGGAUGACGUCAAAUCAUCAUGCCCCUUAUGACCUGGGCUACACACGUGCUACAAUGGUCGGUACAACGAGUUGCGAGCCGGUGACGGCAAGCUAAUCUCUGAAAGCCGAUCUCAGUUCGGAUUGGAGGCUGCAACUCGCCUCCAUGAAGUCGGAAUCGCUAGUAAUCGCGGAUCAGCACGCCGCGGUGAAUACGUUCCCGGGCCUUGUACACACCGCCCGUCACACCACGAGAGUUUGUAACACCCGAAGUCGGUGAGGUANCCUUUUAGGG